CGAACGCUGGCGGCAGGCCCAAUACAUGCAAGUCGAACGGCUCUUCGGAGCAGUGGCGGGCGGGUGAGCCACGCGUGGGAAUGUGCCCUUAGGUACGGAACAACACAGGGAAACUUGUGCUAAUACCGUAUGUGCCCUUCGGUGGCAAGAUUUAUCGCCUUUGGAGCAGCCCGCGUUGGAUUAGGUAGUUGGUGAGGUAAAGGCUCACCAAGCCGACGAUCCAUAGCUGGUCUGAGAGGAUGACCAGCCACACUGGGACUGAGACACGGACCAGACUCCUACGGGAGGCAGCAGUAGGGAAUCUUGCGCAAUGGGCGAAAGCCUGACGCAGCCAUGCCGCGUGUAUGAUGAAGGUCUUAGGAUUGUAAAAUACUUUCACCGGGGAAGAUAAUGACGGUACCCGGAGAAGAAGCCCCGGCUAACUUCGUGCCAGCCGCCGCGGUAA
rnacentral:rRNA from 1 species